AGUGAACGCUGGCGGUAGGCCUAACACAUGCAAGUCGAACGGCAGCACAGUAAGAGCUUGCUCUUACGGGUGGCGAGUGGCGGACGGGUGAGGAAUACAUCGGAAUCUACUUUUUCGUGGGGGAUAACGUAGGGAAACUUACGCUAAUACCGCAUACGACCUACGGUUGAAAGCAGGGGAUCUUCGGACCUUGCGCGAUUGAAUGAGCCGAUGUCGGUUUAGCUAGUUGGGGGGGUAAAGGCCCAGCAAGGCGACGAUCCGUAGCUGGUGUGAGUGGAUGGUCAGCCACCCUGGAAGUGGGCCACGGUCCAGACUCCUGCGGGAGGCAGCAGUGGGGAAUAUUGGACAACAGGCGCAAGCCUGAUCCAACCAUACCGCGUGGGUGAAGAAGGCCUUCGGGUUGUAAAGCCCUUUUGUUGGGAAAGAAAAGCAGCAGGUUAAUACCCAGCUGUUCUGACGGUACCCAAAGAAUAAGCACCGGCUAACUUCGUG
rnacentral:rRNA from 1 species